GAGAAUAGCCGAUGUUUUGAAGCUUAGAAUUUAUCAAUAUCCUCAGGAUGCUGGUCCCAUGGCUCACCCUGUUCGACCUCACUCUUAUAUCAAGAUGGACAACUUUUAUACAGGCAAGCUCAUGUUUCA